UACGUAGGUGGCAAGCGUUGUCCGGAAUUAUUGGGCGUAAAGCGCGCGCAGGCGGUCCUUUAAGUCUGAUGUGAAAGUCCACGGCUCAACCGUGGAGGGUCAUUGGAAACUGGGGGACUUGAGUGCAGAAGAGGAAAGCGGAAUUCCACGUGUAGCGGUGAAAUGCGUAGAGAUGUGGAGGAACACCGAUGGCGAAGGCAGCCCCCUGGGUCAACACUGACGCUCAUGCACGAAAGCGUGGGGAGCAAACAGG
rnacentral:rRNA from 1 species